GAUUAAGAACGUAGCGAAAUGCGAUAAGUAAUGCGAAUUGCAGAAUCCGUGAGUCAUCGAAUCUUUGAACGCACAUUGCGCCCUCUGGUAUUCCGGAGGGCAUGCCUGUUCGAGCGUCAUUAUCACCCCUCAAGCCCGGCUUGUUGUUGGAUGCAGCGCUUAUCCCGCUCCUCCCAAAGAUAAUGACGGCGUCUGCGACGACUCCUGUACACUGAGCUUUCGGGCACGUACACGGCUAGAAGUCCAGACCCGGUCGCCGUCCCCCCCGCGGGGACACCCAUUACCACAAGGUUGACCUCGGAUCAGGUAGGAAUACCCGCUGAACUUAAGCAUAUCAAUAAGCGGAGGA
rnacentral:misc_RNA from 1 species